GACGAACGCUGGCUGCGUGCUUAACACAUGCAAGUCGAACGCUGAAGCUCACAGCUUGCUGUGGGUGGAUGAGUGGCGAACGGGUGAGUAACACGUGAGUAACCUGCCCCCGAUUUCGGGAUAAGCCCGGGAAACUGGGUCUAAUACCGGAUAUGACCACCGGCCGCAUGGUUGGUGGUGGAAAGUUUUUCGAUCGGGGAUGGGCUCGCGGCCUAUCAGCUUGUUGGUGGGGUAAUGGCCUACCAAGGCGACGACGGGUAGCCGGCCUGAGAGGGCGACCGGCCACACUGGGACUGAGACACGGCCCAGACUCCUACGGGAGGCAGCAGUGGGGAAUAUUGCACAAUGGGGGAAACCCUGAUGCAGCGACGCAGCGUGCGGGAUGACGGCCUUCGGGUUGUAAACCGCUUUCAGCAGGGAAGAAGCGAAAGUGACGGUACCUGCAGAAGAAGUACCGGCUAACUACGUGCCAGCCGCCGCCGUAACAC
rnacentral:rRNA from 1 species